GUACUUUCCAGUGUUCCAGACAUCAAUAUGAUAUAUUAAACAAAAAUAACAUUUUAAAAAUGUAACAAGAUUGAUUAAGUGAAGGUAUUAGAAGGUUUGAGCAAUUUCGAAGGUUUACAAAAAACACAGGGCAGCGGUUGCCUGGUGAUAAGGUCGCGGCUUCGGAACCGGAGAGUUGCAGGUUCGAGACCCGAUUCGUGAAAGAACCAUCGUGAAAGCUUUUCUGGUUCACAUAAAGACAUCUGAGCCGAACAUCCUCCAACUGUUGCAGUGAGGGAAUUUGGAGAGGUGCCGCCAGCUCGGGUGUCGUCCUCGUAAUCUGACCUCGGUUCCAAAUUGCGAGUGUCACUGAUUGGAAGGAAAAAACUAUUGAUACCGCAUCAGUUCAAAAGUAUUUUCUUCCCUUUUUACCAAAAAUAGAAAUCCCAGGGGAAAAAAGAUAACCGGCUGUUGUUUUGUUCCAUGUUCUUCCCUCCGAUUUAUUUCUGUAUCCUUUUAGAGACACCUGUGCUUCAAUAUCCCUCCCAUUUCGGAGAAUGUCGUGUUCCGAGAAUGAAUUUUCUAGUACCAAUCGAUAAGCCUUGAAAACC